rnacentral:rRNA from 1 species
AACGAACGCUGGCGGCAUGCCUAACACAUGCAAGUCGAACGAGACCUUCGGGUCUAGUGGCGCACGGGUGCGUAACGCGUGGGAACCUGCCCUUAGGUUCGGAAUAACUCCCCGAAAGGGGUGCUAAUACCGGAUAAUGUCUUCGGACCAAAGAUUUAUCGCCUUUGGAUGGGCCCGCGUUGGAUUAGCUAGUUGGUAGGGUAAAAGCCUACCAAGGCGACGAUCCAUAGCUGGUCUGAGAGGAUGAUCAGCCACACUGGGACUGAGACACGGCCCAGACUCCUACGGGAGGCAGCAGUGGGGAAUAUUGGAAAAUGGGCGAAAGCCUGACCCAGCAAUGCCGGGUGAGUGAUGAAGGCCUUAGGUUUGUAAAGCUCUUUUACCCGGGAUGAUAAUGACAGUACCGGGAGAAUAAGCCCCGGCUAACUCCGU